UGAGGAAUAUUGGUCAAUGGGCGCAAGCCUGAACCAGCCAUGCCGCGUGCAGGAUGACGGUCCUAUGGAUUGUAAACUGCUUUUGUACGGGAAGAAACCCUCCUACGUGUAGGAGCUUGACGGUACCGUAAGAAUAAGGAUCGGCUAACUCCGUGCCAGCAGCCGCGGUAAUACGGAGGAUCCAAGCGUUAUCCGGAAUCAUUGGGUUUAAAGGGUCUGUAGGCGGUCUUGUAAGUCAGUGGUGAAAGCCCAUCGCUCAACGGUGGAACGGCCAUUGAUACUGCUGAACUUGAAUUAUUAGGAAGUAACUAGAAUAUGUAGUGUAGCGGUGAAAUGCUUAGAGAUUACAUGGAAUACCAAUUGCGAAGGCAGGUUACUACUAAUGGAUUGACGCUGAUGGACGAAAGCGUGGGUAGCGAACA
rnacentral:rRNA from 1 species